UCCUCGUCUCAGGUGACCUUGUGACGUCAGCAGAGUAGGGGUGGGAGGUGCAGUGGUGUCCAGGCACAGGGUAGGUGAGGCUGAGAAGGCAGUUGUAGGUACGUCACUGCGCGCUUAGCACGUGGUGGUCUCGUCCUCCCGAGUCCAGCCACACACGCACACUCUCUCAAGGCUUUUAUCCUGUGGAUGUCAAAAUACCUCCAAUGGACACUGCUGACAACCAGCGCUCUUCCCUGUGAUUGUGAUGAUGAAGAACGAUUCGCCUCCUACUGUCACGAGGAACUGGAUCACUUCACAGCAAGACCCUGAACUCCUAUCAUCAACUACACAUGGUGUGUGUGUGUGUGUGUGUGUUGUGACUUGAUGCAUAUUAUUCAUACCCUCUAUGUUGCU
rnacentral:misc_RNA from 1 species